rnacentral:rRNA from 1 species
CCGGAGAAUGUUAUCACGGGAGACACACGGCGGGUGCUAACGUCCGUCGUGAAGAGGGAAACAACCCAGACCGCCAGCUAAGGUCCCAAAGUCAUGGUUAAGUGGGAAACGAUGUGGGAAGGCCCAGACAGCCAGGAUGUUGGCUUAGAAGCAGCCAUCAUUUAAAGAAAGCGUAAUAGCUCACUGGUCGAGUCGGCCUGCGCGGAAGAUGUAACGGGGCUAAACCAUGCACCGAAGCUGCGGCAGCGAACGUAUCACUUAAAGCGAUUCAGCGGGUUACGAUUGACGGAGCGAAGCGACGUCAAAGCGUAUACAAAGUCGAGUCGGUUUAAGGAUACGUUCGUUGGGUAGGGGAGCGUUCUGUAAGCCUGUGAAGGUGUGUCGUGAGGCAUGCUGGAGGUAUCAGAAGUGCGAAUGCUGACAUAAGUAACGAUAAAGCGGGUGAAAAGCCCGCUCGCCGGAAGACCAAGGGUUCCUGUCCAACGUUAAUCGGGGCAGGGUGAGUCGACCCCUAAGGCGAGGCCGAAAGGCGUAGUCGAUGGGAAACGGGUUAAUAUUCCCGUACUUGGUGUUACUGCGAAGGGGGGACGG